UCGAUGAAAAGAAAGAACCAUAAAAGUAUACCUACUGGGUUAGAGGAAAUUCGUUUACUUAUUGAUACGAAAACUGGGUCUGAGUUUCAGUGGAUACCUUAUGCGAGCGAUGAAGUGAAA